rnacentral:lncRNA from 1 species
AGGCUGACAUCUUUUUUUCCCUAUUCAAACCUUGUUUCUGAAAAGACUAGCGCCCUGGCCGGCCCGCAAACGCUCCGACACUGAGAUAAAUCUGCUCCUGGGAAUUAUAUUUCCAUGCGCCUGGGAGCAGAAAGAGUAUUUUCUUCCCUUUCCUUGGAGCCCCUGGUGAUGAAGACACUGCAAGUCUCUGUGAUUACACGUGCAUACGGACGGUGGGUGCCUGUGGCGGAAAAGGGGCCCUCGGAAUUGCGGCUGUGUUUGAGAUCUUCAUUAGUUUCAAUUUUCUUCGGUCUGAAAGCUCGGGCUGGUUGA